GAGCCGGACAAACGUUAUUCGGAAUUAUUGGGCUUAAAGGGUGCGUAGGCGGCGCGGUAAGUGAGGUGUGAAAUCCCUCGGCUCAACCGAGGAAUUGCGCUUCAUACUGCCGUGCUUGAGGGAGAUAGAGGCGAGCGGAACUGAUGGUGGAGCGGUGAAAUGCGUUGAUAUCAUCAGGAACACCAGCGGCGAAAGCGGCUCGCUGGGUCUCUUCUGACGCUGAAGUACGAAAGCUAGGGGAGCGAACGGGAUUAGAUACCCCGGUAGUCCUAGCUGUAAACGAUGAGCACUUGACUGAGGAUCCCCCCAUAGGUUCUUGGUCGUAGCGAAAGUGUUAAGUGCUCCGCCUGGGGAGUAUGGUCGCA
rnacentral:rRNA from 1 species